UAACACGUGGGUAACCUGCCCUGAUGAUCGGGACAACCCGAGGAAACUCGGGCUAAUACCGAAUGUGCCCUCCAGCCACAAGGCUGACGGGGAAAGGAAGCUUCGGCCUCCGCAUCGGGAUGGGCCCGCGGCCCAUUAGCUUGUUGGUGAGGUAACGGCUCACCAAGGCGACGAUGGGUAGCUGGUCUGAGAGGACGAUCAGCCACACUGGGACUGAGACACGGCCCAG
rnacentral:rRNA from 1 species